rnacentral:rRNA from 1 species
GACGGAGGGUGCAAGCGUUGCUCGGAAUCAUUGGGCGUAAAGGGUGCGUAGGCGGCCCCUCGAGUCUGCCGUGAAAGCCCAGGGCUCAGCCCUGGAAGGGCGGUAGAGACUGGGGGGCUGGAGUGCCGGAGGGGAGAGUGGAAUUCCCGGUGUAGCGGUGAAAUGCGUAGAUAUCGGGAGGAAUACCGGUGGCGAAAGCGACUCUCUGGACGGCAACUGACGCUGAGGCACGAAAGCGUGGGGAGCAAACAGG